rnacentral:lncRNA from 1 species
UUGACGACUAAUUUAUCCUUUCCUUUUCUUUACCCCAACCAAGACCACCAGGAAUUAUAAAUCUCUCAUUCCCUCUUUAUUUGCCUCCCAAUUCUCACUCUCUCAACAACAGAAACACAGUUUUCUAUCAAUUCCUCUCACUCCACACGAAACAAACCCCUUAUUUCUUAUGCCUUUCCUUAUUUUAUGUCUCCUUUCCUCCUUCUCACACACUAUAUACAUGUCACCUUUGCUCCUUCGCACUAGCAAGCUUCGUCUGUCUUCAUUUGGGAAAAAAAGGACAUGACCCGCCCUGGCGUCCAGACCUGCCCAGGCCGCCUAGGCGCCGCCUAGGGCCCCCUUAACUCCCUGGUGUCGGUGUCCUCCCUCCUAGCGCCUAGGCCGAUAUCUCGAACACUGCUCAAAACCUGGAACGGGCUUGCUCUGUGCCCUAGACGUUCGUAGUGAUGAGUUCAAGUCCGAUUCGCCAGAAUAUUAAAAAAAUUAAGAGAAUAUUAGUAAAGC